CGCGUGGUUCUAUUUUGUUGGCUUCUAGAACCGCCGUAAUGAUUAAUAGGGACAGUCGGGGGCAUCUGUAUUCAAUUGUCAGAGGUGAAAUUCUUGGAUCUAUUGAAGACAAACUACUGCGAAAGCAUUUGCCAAGGAUGUUUUCAUUGAUAAGGAACGAAAGUUAGGGGAUCGAAGACGAUCAGAUACCGUCGUAGUCUUAACUAUAAACUAUGCCGACUAGGGAUCGGACGAUGUUAUUUUUUGACUCGUUCGGCACCUUUCGAGAAAUCAAAGUGCUUGGGCUCCAGGGGGAGUAUGGUCGCAAGGCUGAAACUUAAAGAAAUUGACGGAAGGGCACCACCAGGGGUGGAACCUGCGGCUUAAUUUGACUCAACACGGGGAAACUCA
rnacentral:rRNA from 1 species